UACGUAGGGUGCGAGCGUUGUCCGGAAUUACUGGGCGUAAAGAGCUCGUAGGCGGUUUGUCGCGUCGUCCGUGAAAACUUGGGGCUCAACCCCCAAGCUUGCGGGCGAUACGGGCAGACUUGAGUACUGCAGGGGGAGACUGGAAUUCCUGGUGUAGCGGUGAAAUGCGCAGAUAUCAGGAGGAACACCGGUGGCGAAGGCGGGUCUCUGGGCAGUAACUGACGCUGAGGAGCGAAAGCGUGGGUAGCAAACAGG
rnacentral:rRNA from 1 species